GCAAUUAUACCGUGAAACUGCGAAUGGCUCAUUAAAUCAGUUAUCGUUUAUUUGAUAGUACCUUACUACUUGGAUAACCGUGGUAAUUCUAGAGCUAAUACAUGCUAAAAACCCCAACUUCGGGAGGGGUGUAUUUAUUAGAUAAAAAACCAACGCCCUUCGGGGCUUCUUGGUGAUUCAUGAUAACUUUACGGAUCGCAUGGCCUUGCGCCGGCGACGGUUCAUUCAAAUUUCUGCCCUAUCAACUUUCGAUGGUAAGGUAUUGGCUUACCAUGGUUUCAACGGGUAACGGGGAAUUAGGGUUCGAUUCCGGAGAGGGAGCCUGAGAAACGGCUACCACAUCCAAGGAAGGCAGCAGGCGCGCAAAUUACCCAAUCCCGACACGGGGAGGUAGUGACAAUAAAUACUGAUACAGGGCUCUUUUGGGUCUUGUAAUUGGAAUGAGUACAAUUUAAACCUCUUAACGAGGAACAAUUGGAGGGCAAGUCUGGUGCCAGCAGCCGCGGUAAUUCCAGCUCCAAUAGCGUAUAUUAAAGUUGUUGCAGUUAAAAAGCUCGUAGUUGAAACUUGGGUCUGGCUGGCAGGUCCGCCUCACCGCGUGUACUUGUCCGGCCGGGCCUUCCUUCUGGAGAACCUCAUGCCCUUCACUGGGCGUGUUGGGGACCAGGACUUUUACUUUGAAAAAAUUAGAGUGUUCAAAGCAGGCCUUUGCUCGAAUACGUUAGCAUGGAAUAAUAGAAUAGGACGUGCGGUCCUAUUUUGUUGGUUUCUAGGACCGCCGUAAUGAUUAAUAGGGACAGUCGGGGGCAUCAGUAUUCAAUUGUCAGAGGUGAAAUUCUUGGAUUUAUUGAAGACUAACUACUGCGAAAGCAUUUGCCAAGGAUGUUUUCAUUAAUCAGUGAACGAAAGUUAGGGGAUCGAAGACGAUCAGAUACCGUCGUAGUCUUAACCGUAAACUAUGCCGACUAGGGAUCGGGCGAUGUUCUUUUUCUGACUCGCUCGGCACCUUACGAGAAAUCAAAGU
rnacentral:rRNA from 1 species